CACGCUCUACCGUGGGUAGUUGAGGAUAAGGGCUAGGGUUUGGGCCUUGAUCACAGCUGGAGGUCUGGCUGUCGUUGGAGUUCAGCUUUUGCUAAGAGAGCCAACUGCCUACACUAAGGGGCAGGAGGGGUUUAUGGCGCGGUACCGGAAGGGCGUUGUUAUCCUGGGGACUAGGAGUGGAAACUUUCCUCCCAGGAAAGGAAAAAACCCAGAGUGGACAAAGGACACCUCAUCACUACUACCAUCACCACCCCAAAAGAAAAAAAUAAUUUUUUGACAGGGUUAAGGUCACUCCCAGUCUAAACUGCACACCCUGCAUGAGAUUAAAAAUGGCCACAAGCUCUGCUCUUUGCAACAACUCCCAUAAAAAAGUUGGAUCAAUUUCCUACCUCUUGAGUAAACAGGGCUUGUGACGUUUCUUGACCAAGAGAAUGCCCUGGAAAUGAGUUUCAAGCCUAACCAGCAGAGACAUUACAGCUUCCACAUGCAUGCUGUUGGAGUGCUAAGGCCCAAGAUGAUAGACACGUGGAGAGACACCUGGCAGCCCAUAGAGCUGAUGUCCCAGGAAUGUGAGACCAUCUGAGACUGCCCAGCCAAUCCACAGAAUCAUGAAAGAUAAUGCAUCACUGUUGUUUUAAACUACUACCUUUAGGAUGAUUCAUUACACCGCAAAAGCUAAUUGAAACAUCAUCUGUUUUGUGUGUCUGUUUUGUGUUUUAUUCAUUCGCACAUGAAAUAUUUAUUGGCUACUUACUCUGCACCUAGCACUCUUCAAGACAUGGGAAUGCAGCACCGAACAAAUCAGGCACAAGUGUGCAUGAGCAUUUUCAGUAAAGAGAGACUUACUGCUUAGGGGAAUAGCCUUUUCCGACUCUAUAGUAUUA